AGAAACUACCAUGGCAAAUGCACAUUAUCCUCACUUCCUCUCCUUUUCCAUACUUGUACAGAAUCCCAUCAACCCGUCUUCCGUUUGGCCCGUCCCCUUUAGUAAACACACAAGGCAUAUCAACCAAACCAGUAGACGUAGCCAUCCCUUUUCCUUUCCUAUCCACCGAGUCUUCACUUCUCACUCUUUUUUCAUUCUCAUUCUCAUUCACUUUGUUGGCUCUAGUCACACUCGGUCUCUCUGUUCCCUGGCUUCCGCUGUUCGAUGAACAUCCUGCCACGAUUUUCGGGCUUCUUUCAUCAUUGCAGCUGUUUGAUGAUCCUACAACACAUAGACUCAGAUCACUCUUCCACUGAAUACAUUCACUCAUUCUACAAUUCCACAGGUUCAAUGACAAAUAUCCAAUUUUACAUUUUAGUGUUACUAAUCUUGUGUCUAAAAACCAACAAUGUAUUGAAAUCUACCUUGCUGAUUUUUGUUGUCUAGCUCCGACA